ensembl:lncRNA
GAGACAGAGAGAGAGGUGUUUUUGUUUUUUGGUGCAGAGGCUUCAAAAGGAAUUGUCGUGUGUCUGGAUAAUAACGUGGUAACUACAUAAUUUUUUGACAGGGAAUCCAUAAGAAUAAGCCUCAAAACUCCUAACGAGGAAAGACAAAACAGAGCACUCAUCCCAUACUACAGUGUGUAGUAUCUACAGAAAUGAUUAUAACCUACUGCAUAUGAUUAAACAGAAUGGUCCUUUUGUGUUCAUGCCACAAGAUGGCUGCGGAGUCUACGUGAGUCUCCUGAAUAAAAGAUGCUGGCCCAGAUGGAUGUUCACCGUUGGCCUCCUGCUCUCCGGUUUUGGCAAUAAACCAGAAGAAACUACAGGCGCGUGAACACACAUUCAGCCGUUCCUACUGGUGCUUGGAACAAAAGUGACUCGUGUCCUAAUCGUACUAAUGAAUCCCAAUUUACAGCUAAAUGACUUCUCAUAUGACUAGACAAAUCAUCAGUAAAGCAAGAAUCUGAUCAAUAUAUAAAAAAAAUAGAAUAAUAAUGAUGCAGUUCACAGUAGCAUGUAAUAACCAGCAGUGUUAAUGAAAACUAUUCUUGAUGAUUCAUGUGUAAGUUAUGGACAGUGGUCUCAAUAGCGAGAGAAGCUGAGGAAGUGUUCAGUAUCAGCUUUAUAAAGGAAGUGAUGCAUUAUUGAGCGAGUAAUAAGGCAGGACUGGCUGUGUGUUAUUGGAGAAUGAUUGCUCGUGUCAGAGGCUGAUAAAACAAAUGACCAGCUCUUUACCAGAUGUACAAACCUCGAGUUGUUAAAUCUCAUGUUGUUGCAAAAAAAAAAAAAGUUCUUCUUUCAAUAGAGAGAGUCAGAUAUGGCUAAAUUUCCGAGCUGUGUGAGUGAACACUAGUGGAAAAACGCAAAGAAAGAGCUUUGGCUGGUGUCAUUUUUUUUUUUAUUACUCACAAAGAAGUAGUCAAUAAAAGUAUGAAAAAGUAUGACCUCUAAUUUGUAGAUGUGAAACUCUUAACUAUAAUGGCCUGUAAGUGGAAAACGCAUUAACAAACCAUAGACCAAGCAGCAAAUCCAGAAAUACAUAAACAGAAAAAAGAAUCAAAACAGAGAAAAGAUCAGAUUCUCAUUGCUGAUUGGACACGGCAUACGCAUAGACUGUUCUGGGGAGGGGCCCUUAAAGCAGAGGGAGUUAACUCUGAAAUUAUUAUUAUGUUACAAAUAGUGACAAAGCAGCACCACAUUUUAAAAAAACAAACAAAAAAACAAAACAUUGCCCCUAACGAACUAGACCAAGUCUCCCAUGUGGAGUUGUUUUUCUAAAAGGUGGAACAAAGUGCGACUGACACUGGAGAAAUAGCAAACAAGAUACACUUUAGUUGCAUAACAUAGUCAUGUAAUGUUAUUCAAAAGAUUGGAUUUGUAUAAUGUUAACGUUAUCAUCCUUAUUAUGAGGAGUAAUUCUUCCUUCUGAAUGCAAAAU